rnacentral:rRNA from 1 species
AUUGAACGCUGGCGGCAUGCCUUACACAUGCAAGUCGAACGGCAGCACGGGUGCUUGCACCUGGUGGCGAGUGGCGAACGGGUGAGUAAUACAUCGGAACAUGUCCUGUAGUGGGGGAUAGCCCGGCGAAAGCCGGAUUAAUACCGCAUACGAUCUACGGAUGAAAGCGGGGGACCUUCGGGCCUCGCGCUAUAGGGUUGGCCGAUGGCUGAUUAGCUAGUUGGUGGGGUAAAGGCCUACCAAGGCGACGAUCAGUAGCUGGUCUGAGAGGACGACCAGCCACACUGGGACUGAGACACGGCCCAGACUCCUACGGGAGGCAGCAGUGGGGAAUUUUGGACAAUGGGCGAAAGCCUGAUCCAGCAAUGCCGCGUGUGUGAAGAAGGCCUUCGGGUUGUAAAGCACUUUUGUCCGGAAAGAAAUCAUUGGCCCUAAUACGGUCGGGGGAUGACGGUACCGGAAGAAUAAGCACCGGCUAACUACGU